CUCAAAGGAAUAGACGGGGACCCGCACAAGUGGUGGAGCAUGUGGUUUAAUUCGAAGAUACACGAAGAACCUUACCUGGCCUUGACAUGGUAGGAACCCUUAAGAGAUUAGGGGGUGCUAGCUUGCUAGAACCUACACACAGGUGCUGCACGGCUGUCGUCAGCUCGUGUCGUGAGAUGUUGGGUUAAGUCCCGCAACGAGCGCAACCCUCGUCCUUAGUUGCUAACAGUUCGGCUGAGCACUCUAAGGAGACUGCCUUCGCAAGGAGGAGGAAGGUGAGGACGACGUCAAGUCAUCAUGGCCCUUACGGCCAGGGCUACACACGUGCUACAAUGGGGCGUACAAAGAGCUGCAAUACCGCGAGGUGGAGCCAAUCUCUUAAAGCGUCUCUCAGUUCGGAUUGUUCUCUGCAACUCGAGAACAUGAAGCUGGAAUCACUAGUAAUCGUAGAUCAGCUAUGCUACGGUGAAUACGUUCCCGGGUCUUGUACUCACCGCCCGUCACACCAUGGGAGUUGAUUUCACCCGAAAUCGGGAUGCCAAACUGGUACCGCUUACGGUGGAAUUAGCGACUGGGGUGAA
rnacentral:rRNA from 1 species